rnacentral:rRNA from 1 species
ACAUACGACCAUAGACUCAAGAGAACUUGAGAUCGGUGGAUUAGUAGUUGGGUGGGUGACCACCAGCGAAUACCCACUGUUGUAUGUU